UACGUAGGGUGCAAGCGUUGUCCGGAAUCAUUGGGCGUAAAGAGCGUGUAGGCGGUCCGAUAAGUCCGCUCUGAAAGCCCGGGGCUCAACCCCGGGAGGCGGGCGGAUACUGUCGGGCUAGAGUCCGGAAGAGGCAAGUGGAAUUCCUGGUGUAGCGGUGAAAUGCGCAGAUAUCAGGAGGAACACCGAUGGCGAAGGCAGCUUGCUGGGACGGUACUGACGCUGAGACGCGAAAGCGUGGGGAGCAAACAGG
rnacentral:rRNA from 1 species